CUUUCAUUGUUUCUCUGGCUGCUGAUUCUGGGGUUUUAGUAUUUCAUAAUUACUCAAUGGAGAAAUUGAGGAAAGUGGUGAAUGAAAUUGCUUACACAACGCCACUAUCUCAAAACCUCUCUAAACUCUCGCCUCUUCAAUGCUCUCUCAUCCCUCUCCUCUUUCUCAGUUCCUCUUUCUACACCCUCGCUCUCUCCCUCCGCCACUUCCUCUACCGCCACCGCCUUUUUCGCCAACACCGGUUGCCAGUGCCAGUUAUCAGCGUCGGAAAUAUGACGUGGGGAGGCAAUGGGAAGACGCCCAUGGUUGAAUUCAUGGCCCUCUGGUUGGCCAAUUCUGGAAUUUCACCUCUGAUUCUUUCUAGGGGUUAUGCUGGUGGGGAUGAAGCUAAAAUGCUUCAAAGGCGGCUUCUUGGAAGAUCUGCUAAGAUUGGUGUGGGUGCAAACAGGGCAGCCACUGCUGCUCAUUUUUUUGAAAGAUAUGGUUACGUGGAUACUGGCCCUGCUACAUGCUUGGAGAGGCUUUGUUUUGACCAAACAAGGGGAAGUCAUCUUGAUGUAGACGAAAUUGGUGCGGUGAUUCUAGAUGAUGGAAUGCAGCAUCGGAGAUUGUGGCGUGAUCUGGAGAUUGUUAUGGUAAAUGGACUGAUGCCAUGGGGAAACUGUCAUUUACUCCCACUUGGACCUUUGAGGGAACCUUUGACUGCACUCAGACGAGCAGAUGUUGCCAUAGUCCAUCAUGCAGACUUGGUACUAGAACAAAGUCUCGAAGAUGUUGAACUAAAGAUGCAAGAAAUCAAAGAAUCUCUCCCUAUUUUCUUCACUAGAAUGGCUCCCUCACACUUCUUAGAAAUGGAAAAUAUCAACUCCAAAAUGCCUUUGAGAUCUGUAUGCGACAAGGUUGUGUUAUGUGUUUCUGCAAUUGGUUUUGCAAAUGCCUUUGUGGAGACAAUUGGGAGGAUAGGAGCAUUGUAUGUGGAUCGACUAGACUUCAGUGACCACCAUUUAUUUCAAGCCAAGGAUGUUGAGAUGAUUAGAAUGAGACUUGGAAAACUACAGGACAAAUUUGGUUUGAAGCCUGUUGUUGUCGUUACUGAAAAGGACUACGAUCGGGACCCAGAGAUUCUUAAAAAUUUGGAUCCUUUCCAAGUUUUGAUACUGUGUUCCAAUCUGCAAUUUAUACCCCGUGAUGGACGUUCUGAGGACAGCUUCAAGAAAUUGGUGAAGCAGCUUCUGGAAGUAAAAUUAUCAGAUGGAAACUAGAUUUAAGCUUUGAUAAUUCAGAUCAAGGGUUUGGCCCUCUGCAAGCGUAGAACUAAUGGGUAUAUGUGCAGGGUGGUCCAAUCUGGAUACGAUGAAAAUGAACUUGUUGCAGAACAUCCUGUUGAACAAGUUGAGAUGUGUUUUGUAUGAACACAGUUUAGGAGCAAUUCAAUUACUUGGUCCUCUGUUCUUAUAUUUUCUUCGGUUUUUCUUCCAAGGUCAGAUGCCAUGUGGGUGAGAUCCCAUUAUAUAUUUUGCAAGAUCAAUCUUAAAUUAAUAUUCAAACAAAGGUAUGAUCCUAAGGAUUACUGGUCCAAGGCAAGACUACUUAUUCAGCAUGAUAUAGGAACACAGAGAGGCAUUACAAAAAUGGUAAGGCCUUUUCUCUUCCCUGAUCACUCUUUCUUCUGCAGCUGCUUGAGGAAAUCUUCAUUGUCUAUCAAUACCUAAAAUAAUACACAAACAGAGAACAAUUCAUUAGCCAAGAUAGGAUGAAAAACAGAGGAACCUUUUGAUGAAAGAACUCACAACUUUCCAGUCAUCUGGGUCGACAAAAGAAGUCAUUUUGGUGUUGAUUACAGGAAUUGGACCAGGUGGUUGUAUGAUCUUUCCUCCCAGUUCUUUGCUUACUAGCAAAACAGCUGCAGCACUCUUGUAUACAUCAUCUGUACUUACAGCAACCUAAGUAUAGAUUUCAUCUUUUAUCAGCAAACAAACCACUUUUUUUUUCCUUCCUUUUUUUUUUCUUUUUAGGAUUUAGUAUAAAAAGAGAAAAAAAUGGCUUCACCGACCUCAACGAAUCCGUUUCCUUUGGUAUACUCAGUUACAUUAUAGGUAUAUAUCAGCUCCAAAACAGUUGUUUCGUUCAUUUCUCCAUAGCCCACCAUGGCCAUAGUAUACUUUACAGUAGCACAUACAGAAGAAAAGACUGAGUUAGUCAUUCAA